UGAGCUUGAUCCUGGCUCAGGAUGAACGCUAGCGGCAGGCUUAAACACAUGCAAGUCGAGGGGUAUAGUUCUUCGGAAUUAGAGACCGGCGCACGGGUGCGUAACGCGUAUGCAAUCUACCUUUUACAGAGGGAUAGCCCAGAGAAAUUUGGAUUAAUACCUCAUAGUAUAAUGACUUGGCAUCAAGACAUUAUUAAAGUCACAACGGUAAAAGAUGAGCAUGCGUCCCAUUAGCUAGUUGGUAAGGUAACGGCUUACCAAGGCUACGAUGGGUAGGGGUCCUGAGAGGGAGAUCCCCCACACUGGUACUGAGACACGGACCAGACUCCUACGGGAGGCAGCAGUGAGGAAUAUUGGACAAUGGGCGCAAGCCUGAUCCAGCCAUGCCGCGUGCAGGAUGACCGGUCCUAUGGAUUGUAAACUGCUUUUAUACGAGAAGAAACACUACUUCGUGAAGUAGCUGACGG
rnacentral:rRNA from 1 species